UGAAAAGCAGCAGGAUUUAGUGAAGAAAAUUGGAUUUAUUGCAACUGUGAAAGGUCAGAUCACAACUUGUUGAUACAGCAUCCAAACCAAAUUUCGUGGUCGAGUUGGGUGACCCCAAAUCAAAAUCGUUUCUUCAUCUACUCACAAAUCUGAUGAACAAACAUUGAUAAUGAACUAUGACAACAUUGUUCCUACUAGAGGCAUUUUAAAACAAAGGGUAAACAUGACAAUAAAAGGGUAUUCCUUCAGUUUCCUGGAAUUCUAGCCAAAGUUAUGAAGACAUGGAAAGAACCGUAAAUGUAUGCGGUACAACAGCAAAGUAUAGCAGAUCAUCUAAAAUCAUUCCUUAAGAUAAAAAAAUGAAUAGCUUACCAUUUAACCUAAAUAUAAAAUAUAGAUAUAAAACAAAAAAUAAAUAAAACAACUGAACGCAAUUAUUAUUAUUAUUAUUGGACUGAAGCUGUUGCAGUGAUUCUAACCAAUAAGAAAACUCCAGAACUUUUUCUACCGACCCGGUCACACAGCCGCACACGCCUGGCCUAGUGGUCAGCGUCUGCAAACUGCCCUUGCUCGGUGGGGGUGCCGUAGUGCCUCCAACGGACGGGCUGCGGGUGGUGCACCUCCGGGCUGUAACCAGCCAUCAAUAGUGGGACGACUUCGUGCCUUCGCUGGAAGGGUGAAUACCGCAAGGAAAAAUGGAUCACAUCCUGUGGACCUGGAGGAGGGCAGAGAAUACCAGAACAUGUACAAAUUCAAAAACAGGGAGGGCGUCCUCUCUCAGUGCAAAGUGCACAAUAACGCAGCGUCUCGGAAGCUGAAACAUGCACAGGUGUGUUGCUCAGGCAACGCUAUUAUUAGAGCGCCGCAAUAGAAAUACAAGGUUAGUUCUUCUGGAAUUGGAGGUCAGAAUAUCAGCAGAGAUCACUGAUGGGACCUUUCACUUGGGCCGCUGAGUCGACUGCAGGGAGAAGAAAUUUUACCCAAAAUAUAUUUAGAACAUUUGGUGUUGGAAGUUAUGUUUUAGUCUCUUUAUUUUUGCCUUUUCAAAACAAACAGAAUACACACAUUUAAAUUAUAUUUAUAUUACAUACUUAUACACAUAAGAAAGGAAAAAGUGGGGGACCACACACAAAAAACACACAAUUUGUAUAGUAACAUGUAUAUUUUUACCGUAGGGAUUGAUGCCAAAACAGUUAUUUUCCCAGUCAAUCAGCGUGACCUCUUGGCUCUCCUUUUCCCAGUCCUCCUCCUCCUCCUCCGGUGGUGGUGGGGGUGGUAUUCCUGAGAGUGUAUGGUUCUCUGGACAGGAUGACUCGUGGCGCCAUUUGUUGACAGUCAACAGGCGAGGCGGCGGCGGCGUCGUCUAGACUGGCGGCCCCCUUCCCCGACACACCAGCGAGGCUGCCCGCACUACAGACCCUGCCAGCCGCUGAGGCAUGAGUGACAGGGGAGGCGGGGCCUCCCCGUUUCUUCAGUGUCCUCGGGGGCGCUGCCUUCUUGCUCUUGUACCAAUGGUUAACGUCACCCUCAACCACACGCGGUGGCUGGGCGCCGUUCCCCUGGGUGAACCGAGCCGUGCUCUGAGGAGGAGCGGCCAGCACGCCAUUGAGAGCAGCGCCUCCACGAACCAGACCCGGGCCCCGACCGGAGGCUCUACAGGUGCUGUGGCGAGUUCCUCCUCGUCCACCGUCACGGUUCAUAACGUUCUGAGGCAUCACGACACCUG
ensembl:lncRNA